rnacentral:rRNA from 1 species
UGGGGGAUAUUGCACAAUGGGGGGAACCCUGAUGCAGCGACGCCGCGUGGGUGAAGGAGUAUUUCGGUAUGUAAAGCCCUAUCGGCAGGGAAGAAGCAAGACGGUACCUGACUAAGAAGCCCCGGCUAACUACGUGCCAGCAGCCGCGGUAAUACGUAGGGGGCGAGCGUUAUCCGGAUUCACUGGGUGUAAAGGGAGCGUAGACGGCCAUGCAAGCCAGGGGUGAAAGCCCGGGGCCCAACCCCGGGACUGCCCUUGGAACUGCAUGGCUGGAGUGCGGGAGGGGCAGGCGGAAUUCCUGGU